ensembl:lncRNA
CACAAACCUUUCAUCUUUUAUGUUAGUUCAUACUUCUGUUGUAUUAUUUGUAGUUCAUGCAAAAUGUCCAGUAUUUACCUGUGCAAAACUUCUUGCUUUGAAGGUGGAACAGAUUCCUGGGAAGGAUUAUAUUAUCCCAGAGCAGCAGGAGGUGUGGGAUGUGGACUCUCAGUCACAGGGUCUCCUGACAGCUGAAAAGUUCACUCUCCAUCUUACUGCCAUGGAGCUGCAGGCUGAGAUGUGGGAUGAAGACUCAGAUUCAGAUGGUUCUCUGAUGCCUGAAACGUCCACCACCUAUGUGAAUACUUCAGAACUCCAGCCUGAGGUCUGGGAUGUGGACAGCGAGCACAGAGAUUUCUUGCCUUGUACACCGUGGGUGACAUGCUGGGGAGUGGAGGCUUUGGCACAGUUUAUGAAGGAACUUGUAAGAAAGAUGGACAACAGGUAAAUUUCCCCCCUCUUUUGUAGGUGUACCUCACAUGAUUCAAAAUCCUCAUUAUAUUUUUUUUUUAUUAUGAAGAAUAUUUAAAUAGUCUAUUAUUUCAGUAAUGGGCUACUGACAUUUUGUUAUUUA